GUGAUGUGGGCUUUAGCCUGUCAUCCAUGCAAGGAUGAUUUUCCUGUAAAUUAGAGCAAAAGGAAAAAAGCCUUGUAAAUCAUCUUUCUCACUUAACUUGCCCAUUGUCCUCUCUCUGCAGGAAACCCACAGGUUGCAGAAGAAAAUGGCUGGUAGAAAUGCAGCAGGAAGAAUAAUGUGGUUUUGAAAUGAGGGCUCAGAUGAAAAUCCAGGGAAACCAACUUCUUAAAAAUAGAUGCCAGUAGGCUGCCUGCCCCACCAAGUCAUUGGACAUUUCUAGACACGCCUGAUGCCCAGCCGAGAAGACAAAUUAGGUUCAAAUCUGAAUCCCUGCUACAUUACUAACGCGCACCACGCACUACAGUGCUUUCUCCUGCAUCGACUCUGAGAGUGUUCUGGCCGCACCACAUGGCGUGUGGAACUUCCCUGACCAGGGAUCGAACCAACGCCCCCUGCAGUAGAAGCGAAGAGUCUUAACCACUGGACCACCAGGGAAGUCCAAAGUGGCUUUUUACAGUUCCCAAUUUCCAGUUGCCUCAUUCUUUGCUCCCUUGUCUUUUUAAACACCUUUCGUCAUA